GACGAACGCUGGCGGCGCGCUUAACACAUGCAAGUCGAGCGAGAACCGGUCCUUCGGGACCGGGGAAAGCGGCGAACGGGUGAGUAACACGUGGGUAAUCUGCCCUCGGUUCUGGGAUAGCCCGGGGAAACCCGGAUUAAUACCGGAUAGCCUCUUGAGCCCUCGGGCUCUUGAGAAAAGGUGGCUUCGGCUUCCGACCGUGGAGGAGCCUGCGGCGGAUUAGCUUGUUGGUGGAGUAACGGCCCACCACGGCGACGAUCCGUAGCUGGUCUGGGAGGACGAUCAGCCACACUGGGACUGAGACACGGCCCAGACUCCUACGGGAGGCAGCAGUGGGGAAUCUUGCGCAAUGGGCGAAAGCCUGACGCAGCGACGCCGCGUGCGGGAAGAAGGCCUUCGGGUUGUAAACCGCUUUCAGGAGGGACGAAGCCACUCGGGUUAAUAGCCCAGAGGGUGACGGUACCUCCAGAAGAAGCCCCGGCUAACUACGUGCCAGCCGCCGCAGUAAAAC
rnacentral:rRNA from 1 species